ACGCUCGACACCUACGGAGGCAGCAGUGGGGAAUAUUGCACAAUGGGAGAAACCCUGAUGCAGCGACGCCGCGUGGAGGAAGAAGGUCUUCGGAUUGUAAACUCCUGUUGUUGGGGAAAAAGAGGAUGGUACCCAACAAGGAAGUGACGGCUAACUACGUGCCAGGAGCCGCGGUAAUCUGAGCGGGCUGGCAAGGC
rnacentral:rRNA from 1 species